GUCGCUUUGCCGGAGUGGUUAACGGGAUCGCCUGCUAUUCCUAUAGCGUCAGCGGUUGGGCUUGUCCCGCGAGUGUUCGAAUCGCUCAGGCGACG
rnacentral:tRNA from 1 species